rnacentral:rRNA from 1 species
CCAUGCAUGUCUAAGUAUAAAUUCUUGUACGAUGAAACUGCAGACGGCUCAAUACAACAGUGAUAAACUAAUAGACUUUCGGGUUUUUAACCUUUUGGAUAACCGCAGUAAAUCGGGGCUAAUACAUACAAGCGAUGGGUGACUGGCAACGGAAGCUCAGCGAUUAUUAGCAUUACUACCAAUACCUUCGGGUCUUGUGGUGAAACCGAAUAAUAUUGCAGAUCGAGGAUUUAUCUUCGACAAGUCUACUGUGUCACUGCCCUAUCAACUUUCGAUGGUACGGUAUUGGCCUACCAUGGUUGUAACGGGUAACGGGGAAUUAGGGUUCGAUUCCGGAGAGGGAGCCUGAGAAAUGGCUACCACUUCUACGGAAGGCAGCAGGCGCGCAAAUUACUCAAUCCCAAUACGGGGAAGUAGUGACAAUAAAUAUCAAUACCUAUCCUUAACGGAGGGCAAUUGAAAUGAACACAAAUUAAAACUCUUAAUUAACACAAUUGGAGGGCAAGUCUGGUGCCAGCAGCCGCGGUAAUUCCAGCUCCAAUAGCAUAUACUAAAGUUGUUGCAGUUAAAAAGCUCGUAGUUGAAGUUAAAGGUUUACUGGGCUAAAGUUAUUUGCCACUCUGGUGGUUAAAUCAACUCCAGUAUUCCUUUUUUUAAUAGCUCUGCUUCUAGCAUCUUUGAUGUUAGUUGUUUGGGCAUUUCACUGUGAGAAAAUUGUGGUGUUUAAAGCAGGCGUCUCGCCUGAUCUUUUGCAGCAUGGUAUGAUGAAACAUGACAUUUUACG